GCCUGGAUAGCUCAGUUGGUUAGAGUGUGGUGCUGAUAACAGCAAGGUUUCAGGUUCGAUCGCAAUACGUGACAGUGGACU